rnacentral:rRNA from 1 species
GAUGAACGCUGGCGGCGUGCCUAAUACAUGCAAGUCGAACGGACAGGUCAUGCUUUUGCGGCUUUCUCGUGUGCCGCACGCGUGAGUAACACGCGUGUAACCUGCCCCUGACUUUCGGAUAACUUCACGAAACUCGGGCUCAUACCGGAUAGGAGCUCCUGCUGCACGUUGGGGGAUGGAAAGUUUCGGCGGUUUGGGAUGGUCUGGAUGCAUAUGAGCUUGUUGGUCGGGUAGUGGCUUACCAAGGCUGUGACGGAUAGGCCGCCUGAGAGCGUGAACGGGCACAUGGGGACUGAGAUACGGACCAGACGGCUACGGGAGGCAACAGGGGGGAAUAUGGCAGAAUAGGCGGAAGCCAGAUGCAGCAACGCCGCGUGCGGGAUAACGGCCUACGGGGUGUGAACCGAUUUCGCCGGUGACGAGGCGGGAGUGACGGUAAUGGGUAAGGAAGCAACGGCUAACUACGUG